GUGGAGAACAUCCACGAGCACAGAUAACUCUGCCUGCACCAGGGGCCUGAGACGGUCCUCCAGCGCGGAGACGAUGUCCUAAAAUGGAAACACAGCCUCAGUCAACAGCUCAGGCUGACGCCAACCACAGGAGGCUGCCAUGGUGUGAGGAAGCCCAGGCUACAUUGAGAUGUUUCAGUCGGCAAAUCCAGCUGAGGUCCCACCUGACAACCAGCAUCAACUGCCAAAUAUGCAAGUGAGCAAGGUGUCAAGAUGAGUCCAACCGCAGUCACUAUCUGACUGCAACCCCAUGAAAGACUCUAAGCAAGAAAUAGCUGGCGGAGCCCAGUCAACCUCCAGAAGAACAAAAGAGAAUAAAGUAAUUGUUGUGAUUUGCUGCACGAAAUACAGGUGCUUCUUUCUUUCUCUUAAGAAAGGAGAACUCCAGUCUAAGCAUGAGACAAACAUCAGUGAAACCCAUGAUGGGAGACACUCUACAGGACUCCUGACCAGUACCUGUCAAGACGGUCAAGGUCAUAAGAAACAAGGAAAGGCUGAGAAAUGGUCACAGACCAGAAGAGACUGGGGAGACACGACAACCAAAUGCAAGGUGGUGCCUGGAUCAAAUCCUGGAACAGAAAAAGGGCAUGACAAGGGACAGCAGUGGGAAAAGUGGUGAAAUUCGAAACGAGUCUGGAGUUGAGGUAAUAGCACUGUACCAGUGUCAGUUUCCUAGCCUUGACAAAGGUGCCCUGCUAACAUAAGAUGCUGACAACGGGUGACAAUGGGUGAGGGAUCUGUGGGAACUCUCUGUAUUACCCUUGCUACAGUCCCAUAAACCUGAAAUUAUUCCAAAAUAAAAGAUUUUGAAAAGGAAGAUAAUUAAGACUAAUAAUCAUUCUUUUCCACAUGGGAAAAUGUCCAAAAAAACAACAAUUUCCUGCCUUCAAUGCUUCAAAACACUAGAAGCAAAGAAAGUACUCAACUAUCUAAUUGUAAAAACAACUCCAACAUCCUGAAAGAGGAAUCUGAGAAGCAAUUAUUUAAAUCCCAUUUAAAAAACACA